UACGUAGGGACCGAGCGUUGUCCGGAAUCAUUGGGCGUAAAGAGCGUGUAGGCGGCCCCUUAAGUCCUGCGUGAAAUCCUGCGGCUCAACCGCAGACGGUCGUGGGAAACUGGAGGGCUAGAGUGCGGGAGAGGAGAGUGGAAUUCCCGGUGUAGCGGUGAAAUGCGCAGAUAUCGGGAAGAACACCCGUGGCGAAGGCGGCUCUCUGGAACGCAACUGACGCUGGGACGCGAAAGCGUGGGGAGCAAACAGG
rnacentral:rRNA from 1 species